AGCGAACGCUGGCGGCGUGCUUAACACAUGCAAGUCGAGCGGUAAGGCCCUUUCGGGGGUACACGAGCGGCGAACGGGUGAGUAACACGUGGGUGACCUGCCCUCAGCUCUGGGAUAAGCCUGGGAAACCGGGUCUAAUACUGGAUAUGACUCCAUGACGCAUGUUGUGGGGUGGAAAGCCUUGUGCGGCUGGAGGAGUCGGGCCCGCGGCCUAUCAGUCUUGGUUGGGUGGGGUGAUCGGCCUACCAAGGCGACGACGGGUAGCCGGCCUGAGA
rnacentral:rRNA from 1 species